CCUAACGCUGGCUCCCGGCUCCCAUCUUUCUCUCCGCUGCUCUCUCUCUCUGUAGGGGCGAUGCAGAGCGGCCAUGGAGGUCCUAUGUUUCAAACCCUUCGUUAGGGUUUCCGCCGCCCACCUCUCCAGAAACCCUAAGACCACACCCUCCCACUUUAAUCCCUGUGCCACUCCCCAUUCCAAACCCUCGCCCCCCUCAUUCUCCUUCGUCGCCCCUCCAAGAAAACCCCGGUCACUCAAAACCCUAGAAACGUCACCCGAUGCCACCUCCAUCACCCCCUUCUGCUUCCUCCUUCCAAUCUUCCACUCAUUCGGGGGCUUCGUCCUCUCUCGGGCGCCAAAGAUUCGAUCUUGGCUUAAAGGUGGCCUUGACGAAGGGAUGUGUGGGAAUGAUUUGCUAUGUUGUGGAGGGAUUGGGAUGAUGCUGAUGAGUACCACGGCGAUGUUGUCGAAGGCCCAGGUCAGCCCUUUUUUGUGGACGCUGGCCGGGAACCCAACUUUUGUGUCGGGGCUUGUGGCGUGGGCGCUGGCACAGACUAUAAAGAUGCUCUUGAACUUCUUUGUGGAGCGGAGGUGGGACUUCAGGAUGCUGUUUAGUUCUGGAGGGAUGCCAUCGUCGCACUCGGCGCUGUGUAUGGCGCUCACUGCGUCGGUGGGCAUGUGCCAUGGAGCAUCAGACUCGUUAUUUCCUGUAUGCCUUGGUUUCAGCCUCAUUGUUAUGUAUGAUGCGAUUGGGGUGCGGAGGCAUGCUGGGAUGCAGGCUGAGGUACUUAAUAAGAUCAUUGAGGACUUGUUUCAAGGGCAUCCUAUCAGUGAAAGAAAGCUUAAGGAGCUUCUAGGUCACACUCCAUCACAAGUCAUUGCUGGGGCUCUUCUAGGCAUCUUGGUUGCUUGUGUUUGCUGCCAAGGAUAUGUUUUUGCCAUUUAAGUUGAUUCUUCAGAGUUGGGAAAAUUUAGAGUUGAGAAAGCCAAAUAUAACACUUCUGUAUCGAGGUACCGAAGGAUGCUCAGUUAGCCAGAUGAAGGGAACAUAGGCAGAUGGCAUGUGAUUAUAGGACAAGUAGGCAGCAAUUUCUGCCACAUAAUCCUGUUCGACUGGGUAUUUUCCAAUAUCUUAUGAGAAUCCUCUUCUUUGUCAGCCCGGUUGUAAAAAACCUGAAGAUCGGGUUCUCCAAGAGUUCAUCUGCGUAUUGAGAAUUCCUCAGAUCCAUAUGAGAAUUGUUGGGUCACCGUAAAAUUUAUGUCGAGAAUUCUAGUCAUUAGCAGGAGAAGAAUUUAUGUGUUUCCUUUGUGGAUAACUCAUUUGUGUUUGCUAUUUCAUCCAUCAAUUUUCUGGCAGUGGCUUUCAUAUUCGCCUUUU